rnacentral:rRNA from 1 species
GCAAGUCUGGUGCCAGCAGCCGCGGUAAUUCCAGCUCCAAUAGCGUAUAUUAAAGUUGUUGCAGUUAAAAAGCUCGUAGUUGAACCUUGGGCUUGGUUGGCCGUCCGCCUUUUUGGCGAGUACUGGACCCAACCGAGCCUUUCCUUCUGGCUAACCUUUCGCCCUUGUGGUGUUUGGCGAACCAGGACUUUUACUUUGAAAAAAUUAGAGUGUUCAAAGCAGGCCUUUGCUCGAAUAUAUUAGCAUGGAAUAAUAGAAUAGGACGUUAUGGUUCUAUUUUGUUGGUUUCUAGGACCAUCGUAAUGAUUAAUAGGGACGGUCGGGGGCAUCAGUAUUCAGUUGUCAGAGGUGAAAUUCUUGGAUUUACUGAAGACUAACUACUGCGAAAGCAUUUGCCAAA